rnacentral:rRNA from 1 species
GACGAACGCUGGCGGCGUGCUUAACACAUGCAAGUCGAACGGAAAGGCCCCUUUGGGGGUACUCGAGUGGCGAACGGGUGAGUAACACGUGAGUAACCUGCCCUUGACUUCGGGAUAACUUCAGGAAACUGGGGCUAAUACCGGAUAGGAAUCCUUGCUGCAUGGUGGGGGUUGGAAAGCUUCGGCGGUUUUGGAUGGACUCGCGGCUUAUCAGCUUGUUGGUGGGGUAGUAGCUUACCAAGGCUUUGACGGGUAGCCGGCCUGAGAGGGCGACCGGCCACAUUGGGACUGAGAUACGGCCCAGACUCCUACGGGAGGCAGCAGUGGGGAAUAUUGCACAAUGGGCGGAAGCCUGAUGCAGCAACGCCGCGUGCGGGAUGACGGCCUUCGGGUUGUAAACCGCUUUCAGCAGGGGCGAAGCUUGUGGUGACGGUACCUGCAGAAGAAGCACCGGCUAACUACGUG